rnacentral:tRNA from 1 species
CGGGAUAGCUCAGUUGGUAGAGCGACGCACUCGUAAUGCGUAGGUCGCCAGUUCGAAUCUGGUUCCC